CACUGUGACUCUGUCGGUCACCACUGAAGAACUUCGGCCUGGUCGCUGUCCACCGCAAGCUGGAUAUAUGCUCGCUCUCCUCUGCUCGUCCCAGGCAGCGGCGGCAGCGCAUGGACAGUGGCAGGGUCGGGCGCAGCACCGCCAACCGUACUGUAACCGGAGGCAAGUGGAGCGCGGCAGGAUCAGUCCGGUCAUCCCGACCCGAAUGUAUUUGGCGGAAGAGGAGGCACAGGUUUGGCCACGACGAAGAUGACAUUGGUACAUGGGAGCAUUCUUCAAUUCAGUUCGAACAAAGAAGAAAAUUAAUCUUACACUUGGAGAUAACACAGACGAUGGAGCAUGGCCUAUGUGAACCUAUAGUCAAGCAGUGGCGGAGCCCAUGGCUAGGUUUGUGAUGGAGGAGAGUGUUGAGGCCGGUGACAUCUUCGGCUCCUCGCCAAACGGAUGCUGGAGCAGAGGUGGCCGGGAUAGAGGCGAUCGUGAUGGAGGUGGCACCAUAUGAUUGGGAUGGAAUGGCAAGGUUGCCGCUGUUGUACUCUUAGGGGAUGCCGGCGUGACCUGGAGCCAUUGAAGGAGAUAGCGGGCAUGUGGCCGGCGAGAGGUAGAGAGCACGCCCUGAUCGAGACAUGAGGCCACCAUGGGAGCGGCCGACGCGGUGCCGUGCGUCUUGCGGGCAGGUUAGGGAGUUAUCUUAGAUGAGGUUAGGGAAUUAGGAAGGCGUACGGGAGAAUAAGUACGUCUAGUUUAUCCUGAUAGAAUCUGACUCGUAUGGUUGGUUUUUUAACACAAACUGUAACAUAUACUACCUCCGUUUCAAAAUAGAUGACCCAACUUUA